rnacentral:rRNA from 1 species
UACGUAGGGGGCAAGCGUUGUCCGGAAUCAUUGGGCGUAAAGCGCACGUAGGCGGUUCGUUAUGUCGGAUGGGAAAGCCCCUGGCUUAACCGAGGAAGUGCAUCCGAAACUGGCGAGCUAGAGUACGAAAGAGGAUCGCGGAAUUCCCGGUGUAGAGGUGAAAUUCGUAGAUAUCAGGAGGAACACCGGUGGCGAAGGCGGGUCUCUGGGCCGAUACUGACGCUGAGGAGCGAAAGCGUGGGGAGCGAACAGG